GGAUUAGGCAUGCAAGUCGAACGAGAACUAGGUAGCAAUACCUGGGGAAAGUGGCGAAAGGGGCAGUAAGGCGUGGGUAACCUACCCCGGGGACGGGGAUAGCCUUCCUAACGGAAGGGUAAUACCUGGCGAUCUGGCGAGAGGACAUCCUUUUGCCAGGAAACGAAUUUCGCCUCGGGAGGGGCUCACGUGAUAUUAACUUGUUGGUGAGGUAACGGCUCACCAAGGCCGAGAUGUCUAGCGGGUGUGAGAGCACGACCCGCGCCACUGGCACUGAGACACUGGCCAGACUCCUACGGGAGGCUGCAGUCGAGGAUCUUUGGCAAUGGGCGCAAGCCUGACCAAGCGACGCCGCGUGUGCGAUGAAGGCCUUCGGGUUGUAAAGCACUGUCGAGGGGGAGGAAGCCGCAAGGUUGACCUAUCCCUGGAGGAAGCACGGGCUAAGUUCGUGCCAGCAGCCGCGGUAAGACGAACCGUGCGAACGUUGUUCGGAAUCACUGGGCUUAAAGGGUGCGUAGGCGGGCCGGAUAGUCUGUGGUGAAAGCCUCCAGCUUAACUGGAGAAGUGCCAUGGAUACUGCCGGUCUUGAGGAGGGUAGGGGCAUCUGGAACGCUGGGUGGAGCGGUGAAAUGCGUUGAUAUCCAGCGGAACUCCGGUGGCGAAGGCGAGGUGCUGGACCCUUUCUGACGCUGAGGCGCGAAAGCCAGGGGAGCAAACGGGAUUAGAUACCCCGGUAGUCCUGGCCCUAAACGAUGAGGACUAGGUAGUGGACUUACAUGGGUUCACUGCCGGAGCAAAAGUGCUAAGUCCUCCGCCUGGGGAGUAUGGUCGCAAGGC
rnacentral:rRNA from 1 species